rnacentral:rRNA from 1 species
UACGGAGGAUCCAAGCGUUAUCCGGAUUCAUUGGGUUUAAAGGGUGCGUAGGCGGAAUGAUAAGUCAGUGGUGAAAGCCUGCAGCUUAACUGCAGAACUGCCAUUGAUACUGUCAAUCUUGAGUACAUUUGAUGUGGGCGGAAUGUGUCAUGUAGCGGUGAAAUGCUUAGAUAUGACACAGAACACCGAUUGCGAAGGCAGCUCACAAAACUGUAACUGACGCUGAGGCACGAAAGCGUGGGUAUCAAACAGGAUUAGAUACCCUGGUAGUCCACGCUGUAAACUAUGAUUACUCGAUGUUUGCGAUAUACUGUAAGCGUCUAAGCGAAAGCGAUAAGUAAUCCACCUGGGGAGUACGCUCGCAAGAGUGAA